UACAGAGGGGGCAAGCGUUAUUCGGAAUUAUUGGGCGUAAAGGGCGCGCAGGCGGCCUGGCAAGUCGAGUGUGAAAUCCCUCGGCUUAACUGAGGAAUGGCGCUCGAAACUACCUCGCUGGAGGGCGGGAGAGGGAAGUGGAACUCUCGGUGUAGGGGUGAAAUCUGUAGAUAUCGAGAGGAACACCGGUGGCGAAGGCGGCUUCCUGGCCCGUACCUGACGCUGAGGCGCCGAAAGCGUGGGGAGCAAACAGG
rnacentral:rRNA from 1 species